rnacentral:rRNA from 1 species
UGUGACUGCGUACCUUUUGUAUAAUGGGUCAGCGACUUAUAUUCUGUAGCAAGGUUAACCGUAUAGGGGAGCCGCAGGGAAACCGAGUCUUAACCGGGCGUUAAGUUGCAGGGUAUAGACCCGAAACCCGGUGAUCUAGCCAUGGGCAGGUUGAAGGUUGGGUAACACUAACUGGAGGACCGAACCGACUAAUGUUGAAAAAUUAGCGGAUGACCUGUGGCUGGGGGUGAAAGGCCAAUCAAACCGGGAGAUAGCUGGUUCUCCCCGAAAGCUAUUUAGGUAGCGCCUCGUGAAUUCAUCUCCGGGGGUAGAGCACUGUUUCGGCUAGGGGGCCAUCCCGGCUUACCAACCCGAUGCAAACUGCGAAUACCGGAGAAUGUUAUCACGGGAGACACACGGCGGGUGCUAACGUCCGUCGUGAAGAGGGAAACAACCCAGACCGCCAGCUAAGGUCCCAAAGUCAUGGUUAAGUGGGAAACGAUGUGGGAAGGCCCAGACAGCCAGGAUGUUGGCUUAGAAGCAGCCAUCAUUUAAAGAAAGCGUAAUAGCUCACUGGUCGAGUCGGCCUGCGCGGAAGAUGUAACGGGGCUAAACCAU